GGUCAGUUGGAGACUUAUUAACUGGUUAAGAAAAUGCAUCUUUUCUACCAAAAACACAAAGCAACCAAAACAUUAAACAUGCAGUACAUAAAAACAAUCACCAAAGCAAACUUAAAUUCGGGUUAGUACCUACACGUGCAAAAUGAAAAACCAAUUUUCAAUUGUAGUCGAUUUCGAUUGUUAUUAUCAGCCCAUUAGUAAUUUUUUAAGGGUUUCCAAAUAUUUGGACUUGAACUUUUCUUAUAUCUAAACACCCUUAGCUGGAAAUUAAAGGUUUAAAUCAAUUUUCUUUCAAGAUUCCUAAAUUUAUUUCAUACAUGUCUAGGAUAAUACCAAAAAAUAAACAAGUGCUUCAAUUACUUUUCAAUUUUUACUUGGGAAACUAUGAUAUAAGGAUGUUAAAAACCAAAAGGGAACUAGAGAUGGCCAUUGGCUGUGUUGAAAACCUGUCUCGUGCCCCAACAACCUGGCACGCGCUCAUCUCUAGCGGGAACGGAAUGAAACGGGAGAGUUUAAGAUCCGGUCGGAAAGGAACGGGUUGUUCCAGUGCAGAUUGUUCCGCUGAAGCUUAAACAAAGUGCAAAGCUUGUUAGUAUGCGGAUCUUCAAUAGACAUCAGUGUAUAAAUAUCUGUUCAAGUCGUGAGGUUACUUAAAAUUCUUUGAAUAAAAAUGAUGAUAUAUAAGAAAAAGUGAAAAUAUCAAAAUAUGUAUAUAC